rnacentral:rRNA from 1 species
UUGCCGUAAAAAUUGAUACCAAUCACAUCCGCCAGGGUGCUAUAAGCAUAGCUCAAAACCAAAGGGCCUGGCGGGGCUUUAAAACCCCCUAGAGGAGCCUGUUCUAUAACUGAUAAUCCCCACUUAACCUCACCCCUUCUUGCCAAUUCCGCCUAUAUACCGCCGUCGUCCGCUUACACUGUGAAACCCAAUAGUGAGCAAAAUUGGUAAAACCCCAAACGUCAGGUCGAGGUGUAGUAAAUGAAGGGGGAAGAAAUAGGCUACAUUCGUUUACUAACGAUACGAACUAAAUGUUGAAACACUUAGAAGGAGGAUUUAGCAGUGAGAAGAAGAUAGAGUAUUCCCUGAAACCGGCCCUAGAGCACGCACACACCGCCCGUCA